rnacentral:rRNA from 1 species
AACGUACGCUGGCGGCACGCCUAACACAUGCAAGUCGAACGAAGUAGUAAUACUUAGUGGCAGACGGGUGAGUAACAUGUGGGUAUCUGCCCUUUGGCCUGGAAUAACACGAGGAAACUUGUGCUAAUACCGGAUAAGUCUUUACGGAGAAAGCUUUAUGCACCAUUGGAUGAGCCCGCACUUGAUUAGUUUGUUGGUGGGGUAAUGGCCUACCAAGACUGUGAUCAAUAGCUGAUUUGAGAGGAUGAUCAGCCACAUUGGGACUGAGACACGGCCCAAACUCCUACGGGAGGCAGCAGUGGGGAAUCUUGCACAAUGGAGGAAACUCUGAUGCAGCGAUGCCGCGUGAGUGAAGAAGGCCCUUGGGUUGUAAAGCUCUUUCGUCGGGGAAGAAAAUGACUGUACCCGAAUAAGAAGGUCCGGCUAACUUCGUGCCAGCAGCCGCGGUAAUACGAAGGGACCUAGCGUAGUUCGGAAUUACUGGGCUUAAAGAGUUCGUAGGUGGUUGAAAAAGUUAGUGGUGAAAUCCCAGAGCUUAACUCUGGAACUGCCAUUAAAACUUUUCAGCUAGAGUAUGAUAGAGGAAAGCAGAAUUUCUAGUGUAGAGGUGAAAUUCGUAGAUAUUAGAAAGAAUACCAAUUGCGAAGGCAGCUUUCUGGAUCAUUACUGACACUGAGGAACGAAAGCAUGGGUAGCGAAGAGGAUUAGAUACCCUCGUAGUCCAUGCCGUAAACGAUGUGUGUUAGACGUUGGAAAUUUAUUUUCAGUGUCGCAGCGAAAGCGAUAAACACACCGCCUGGGGAGUACGACCGCAAGGUUAAAACUCAAAUGAAUUGACGGGGACCCGCACAAGUAGUGGAGCAUGUGGUUUAAUUCGAAGAUACGCGCAGAACCUUACCAACACUUGACAUGUUCGUCGCGACUCUAAGAGAUUAGAGUUUUCGGUUCGGCCGGACGAAACACAGGUGCUGCAUGGCUGUCGUCAGCUCGUGUCGUGAGAUGUUGGGUUAAGUCCCGCAACGAGCGCAACCCUCACUUUUAGUUGCCAUCAUUAAGUUGGGCACUCUGAAAGAACUGCCAGUGAUAAGCUGGAGGAAGGUGGGGAUGACGUCAAGUCCUCAUGGCCCUUACGUGUUGGGCUACACACGUGCUACAAUGGUAUCUACAACAGGAAGCAAGACUGCGAGGUCAAGCAAAUCCUUAAAAGAUACCUCAGUUCGGAUUGCACUCUGCAACUCGAGUGCAUGAAGCUGGAAUUACUAGUAAUCGUGGAUCAGCGUGCCACGGUGAAUGCGUUCCCGGGUCU